rnacentral:lncRNA from 1 species
AUAAUCUUGGUUUGACCAUAUCUUUAUUUGAUUUUUCUAUCCUUCUUCCAGGAUUGUACACUGAAUGCAAGCAGCCAGACCAAGCCCUCUGAUGUGGCCAGGAACAAGGACUGGGUGAGCCAAAAGUGAAGGGUCUGUGUAUAUAUUUAUUGGUGAUAUACGGACCUCAGAUCUGAUACUGGACCAGGAUCAAAAAUCUCUCUGGAUGAACUCAGGAUUUCUGACAUUUGCUCCAGAAAUCUUAGCAAGACUGAGUGGCAUAUCCAACUGAGGAGGAAUACCUGUCUUGUCAACUUGUUGUGGAGAGAACCUUGAGGAUAUGUGAAAAGAGAACCUGCAUUCUGAGAAGACACCGUCAACCCCUGCCCACUGCCUUGAAUCCAAGCUGCCCCACCCCAGAGAAUGUGCCAUAGAAAAUUCUGCAGUGGGUAUGUCUAGACAAAAUAUUUUUGGAUGCUUUAAGCAUUUCCCUUCAGAUUAAAUACUGUUGCCAAGGGGUUAAUUGGACUCAAAGAUCCCUCCCCACGAGGUUUGAGAGUCUGUGAUAUAAAUUCCAUCUGUUUCUUGAAGCGAUUUAUGGGUUUGGCAAUAUGAUGUGUUGGCCUGACAAUUGUUUAAAAAAUCCCUUUUAGCUUGAUACAGGUAUAAUUUUUUAUAGUAUCCAGAUUUAUUUUCCUCAACAUCUAAUUUUAAAUUAGAAACCACUCCAGCCCUGUGUCUGGGAUACCAAAUUUGUUCUGAAUGUGAGUACCCCACAGUCCUCCCUUGACCAAAGAGGUGUAACUUUCAUACUGUAGCGGAGGAGUCAAACAUUUUUCUUCCAAUUUGAAUGCUAUGAGAAUUGGAAUGUUAUAAAUAGUGAAAGCAGUCCUGCAAUACUUCUUGACUGUACUUCCUUUGUUUCAGGGGAUUGUCUUCAGACUCUUCAGUGGAUUAAAGGAUCUAAGA